rnacentral:rRNA from 1 species
UACGUAGGGUCCGAGCGUUGUCCGGAAUUAUUGGGCGUAAAGGGCUCGUAGGCGGUCUGUUGCGUCGGGAGUGAAAACUUACAGCUUAACUGUGAGCGUGCUUCCGAUACGGGCAGACUUGAGGUAUUCAGGGGAGAACGGAAUUCCUGGUGUAGCGGUGAAAUGCGCAGAUAUCAGGAGGAACACCGGUGGCGAAGGCGGGUCUCUGGGCAACAACUGACGCUGAGGAGCGAAAGCGUGGGGAGCGAACAGG